GACGAACGCUGGCGGCGUGCCUAAUACAUGCAAGUAGAACGCUGAAGAGAGGAGCUUACUCUUCUUGGAUGAGUUGCGAACGGGUGAGUAACGCGUAGGUAACCUGCCUUGUAGCGGGGGAUAACUAUUGGAAACGAUAGCUAAUACCGCAUAACAAUGGAUGACACAUGUCAUUUAUUUGAAAGGGGCAAUUGCUCCACUACAAGAUGGACCUGCGUUGUAUUAGCUAGUAGGUGAGGUAAGGGCUCACCUAGGCGACGAUACAUAGCCGACCUGAGAGGGUGAUCGGCCACACUGGGACUGAGACACGGCCCAGACUCCUACGGGAGGCAGCAGUAGGGAAUCUUCGGCAAUGGGGGCAACCCUGACCGAGCAACGCCGCGUGAGUGAAGAAGGUUUUCGGAUCGUAAAGCUCUGUUGUAAGUCAAGAACGGGUGUGAGAGUGGAAAGUUCACACUGUGACGGUAGCUUACCAGAAAGGGACGGCUAACUACGUG
rnacentral:rRNA from 1 species